CGGGGCGGGGCUCCUAUCGGCUCCCGGCUUCCCUUUCUUCCGUGGCCUCUGAGGUGGCUGCUGUGUCCUGCAGAGCUCCGAACACGUGCAGUGCCCAGCUGCCAUUUUCAGGAGGUGCCUGCCCUGGAUAUCUUGGAAGUAAAAGUGGUCUUCAUCCCCUUACAACAGGGCAAGUGUGGCUAUUAGGUCCGAAUGAGAAAGCUGACUCCGUCAGGUUCUGAAGACGCCAUGUUUUGAGUAAUGUAUGUGGUUCUGAUUAAAAUACUCAAGGAGAGAAAGUUAAAUUGCUGUAGAGGAUUAAAGAGCUGUGAUGUAAUUCCAAAGAAUGCUUGUAAAGUCCAGCAAUGGUUUGGGCGAGGGGACAGUGUUAAUUAGUGAUUUUUAAGUUCUAUUUGGAUAGUGGUCAUCUUAGGACAGCUCAGAACAUUCCAGAAAGUUUGGGACAUUGCUUUUUGAAAGCAAAGGCCUAUUUAUUAAGCCUAGAUAGUAAAUAAUUGUUAUACUGUCUUUGUUUUUGCAACUGUGUGUGAAAGGCAGACAAUGUAUCAGCAAAUGAACAUGGCUAUAUUCCAAUAAAACUUACAUGAUAAACACUGAGAUUGGAAUUU